CCUCUCUCUAGCAGGGUGGGAAGGGAGGCAGUAUCACCUCCGGCUUCCCAGUCCGUACUGCUCCACCAUCUUCCCAGCCCCCCUCUCCUGUGGUGAGCUCUGCUCCCCAUGCCAGCAAGCCUGAUGCCAAACCAAGAUCAUAUAGUAACCAGCAUCCAAACUACACACGUUCAUUCUACUGAAGCACCAUUCAGUGUGAUGAAGUCUCAAGAAAAUGUUCUAAGGGAAAUAAAUGCUUACAAAGGUCUGAAUCUCAUCAAGCAACAGAGCAUUUUUGUCAUUAGGGGUAUCAGUUUCUCAAGAUUUUGUAUCUUUUACUGAUAUCAGUAACUAUGAUAACUACCAAGUUUCCAAUUUUGAAAGUAACAUUUACCAUAUCCAUUGAUGUUAUUACACUUGGCAAUGUAUCAGUACUUAUGAUUAUGUAUAUUUCCUCAGUCAAGGUUUUUGUAAGAUAGAUAGAUAGAUAGAUAUAUAUUACUUAUUUUAAUAUGACAUUGCAGUAUAUUUUUCUUUUCUUUUCUUUUAUUGGUUAAGGGUUAAUGAAUAUAACAUAUAGAGGUUGAGCCUUGAUCUGUACUCUUCUUGAAUCAUCAAGGGAAGAGAUGUACAUGUACUGUACUGAUGAUAUGUUGGGUGUAAGUAGAUCGCAAAUUACAAAUUUCUUUUCCUUGGGGCAUCAUCUUUGUAUUUUAUUUAGGGAAGAGACCACUUUAUGAAUGAGGCAAUUUUUAAAUAAAAAUAUUUUAAAGGAAGUUGAGUAGCAAGUAAUGUUUUUUUCUUUUUCAUCUCACACACAUGAAGUCACUCCCCCCAUUAUUUAUUUAUUUAUUUAUUUAUUUUUUAUACAUUUAAAAAAGUAGGUCCAGCUUUUUAAAUCUAACCUUGACAAACAGAAAUACCAAAUUCGAUGUGGAUGCUACUUGAAUAAGCUGCCUUGCCUUGAUGCACACUGGGUUAAUUAAGUACAAGGUAAGAUUGAGUGAGAAGUAAAUUUGAUAGAAAAAAAAGAUGCAGCAUAUAUAGGUAAAUGUGUUACUCAAGUUUUCUAUAUAGCUUACUCAAAGAUUCUGAAGAAAAAAAAAAUGAUGUGUGUUUACUUUUCCUGUGUAUAUUUAACUUUCAACUGUAACCCUUCAGAUGAGAUUUAUGUUCCAUAUGUGUAUGCCCAUUGGUUAAUGGUUAAUGGGUAUAAAGCAAAAUAAAGUGUUGGACAUCAAA